UGCUAUUAGAUUCUAUUAUUCUAUAUUCUAUAUAUAGAAUAAUAGAAAUAUAGAAUUCGAUUAAGAAGAUUUU
rnacentral:tRNA from 1 species